UGGGGAAUAUUGGACAAUGGGCGCAAGCCUGAUCCAGCCAUGCCGCGUGGAUGAUGAAGGCCUUAGGGUUGUAAAGUCCUUUCGGCGGGGAAGAUAAUGACGGUACCCGCAGAAGAAGCCCCGGCUAACUUCGUGCCAGCAGCCGCGGUAAUACGAAGGGGGCUAGCGUUGCUCGGAAUCACUGGGCGUAAAGCGCACGUAGGCGGCUUUUUAAGUCAGGGGUGAAAUCCUGGAGCUCAACUCCAGAACUGCCUUUGAUACUGAGAAGCUUGAGUCUGGGAGAGGUGAGUGGAACUGCGAGUGUAGAGGUGAAAUUCGUAGAUAUUCGCAAGAACACCAGUGGCGAAGGCGGCUCACUGGCCCGGUACUGACGCUGAGGUGCGAAAGCGUGGGGAGCAAACAGGAUUAGAUACCCGCGUAGUCCCUGAGCGGGCUGGCAAGGCGCAU
rnacentral:rRNA from 1 species